CAAAAGGUCCUUUUCAGGACCACUCACUGAAUUCCUUAAAAAGCUGU
rfam:Mus musculus chromosome 13, GRC primary reference assembly.